rnacentral:tmRNA from 1 species
GGGGGUGCCCUGGAUUCGACUGGCGGACUGUAGUUUAAUAGGCUGCAGGUAGAGCGUCUAACUCUUAAAACUGGUCAACAAUUUAAAUGCUAAAAAAGAAGACGAAGUUAUUAUCGCUUUAGGUGAUAACGUGUCAUUAGCACUAGCAGCAUAGUUCUGCUAGCGGGAAUAUUGAGUCGCUGUUCCUAGGCUCCUUGGACCCGUAAGAAAUAGGGACUUACCGGUUUUUUUGUUAAGAGUCUAACUGGGAAAAUUAUAUCUUAACUGGAUUAGGGAACGGUUGCCUCUUCUUGUACCCCUAAUUGAGACUUAAACGAAGGGACUAAACCUGUAGAGGUUUAUUAAACACCCGUUAGGACGAGGGUUCGAUUCCCUCCACCUCCAUUG